GUGGAUUAGAUACCCUGGUAGUCCACGCCCUAAACGAUGAUGACUAGUUGUUGGAGGAGUUAAAUCCUUUAGUAACGCAGCUAACGCGCGAAGUCAUCCGCCUGGGGAGUACGGUCGCAAGAUUAAAACUCAAAGGAAUUGACGGGGGCCCGCACAAGCGGUGGAUGAUGUGGUUUAAUUCGAUGCAACGCGAAAAACCUUACCUACCCUUGACAUGCCAGGAACGCUGCAGAGAUGCAGCGGUGCCCGAAAGGGAACCUGGACACAGGUGCUGCACGGCUGUCGUCAACU
rnacentral:rRNA from 1 species